AAGAAUCACAGCGAGGAGACCAAUCACAGCGGUGGUGGUGGUGGUGGUGGUGGUGGUGGGUAGUAGUGGUGGUGGAGGUGGUGGUGGAGGGAGAAGAGUUGAGAAAGAGAGAGAGAUGGAGUUUUGGUUGCGGUGGUGAGGGUGAGAAAGAGAGAUCGAGUUUUAGGUUGUGUUUUUUUUGCUGAAUUCUAAGUCAUUUUAGUAGUAAUGGAGAAGAUGAGAACAGAUGAAGAAGAUGAGAAGAAGAUGCUUACCCAGCGAGAAGAAGACGAGAAGAAUCACAGCAGUGGUGGUGGUGGUGGUGGUGGGUAGUAGUGGUGGUGGAGAAAGAGAGAUCGAGUUUUAGGUUGCGGUGGUGAGGGUGAGAAAGAGAGAUCGAGUUUUUUGCGGUGGUGAGGGUGAGAAAGAGAGAUCGAGUGAGGUUGCGGCCGCCAUUAGAGAGAGAGAGAGAUCGAGUUUUAGGUUUGUUUUUUUUUUUUUUUUUUAUGUUAUAUAGUGUGGCGAAAAAUGUUGGCGAAUUCGCGGUGAAUAAAAAAACACCUAUUCGGGUGGGCGAAAAAAUGGUCGAUUCGCCGAGUUUUUUUGGUGAAUGAGUGUAUUUUGACAAAAAAAUCCGGUGUAUAAAUAAUUUACUCCAAAUACGCCAAAUUCGCCGAGUCUUUAUCAAACAUCAAGAAUACCGGUGAAACGCGGCGAAUCACCCAUUCACCACGGCGAAUCGGUUAUCAAACAGGGCCUA
rnacentral:lncRNA from 1 species